CUGUCAGUUGCCCCAUCGUGCAAUGUGGUGCGGCAACCAAGCCAGGGCUGCUCCAUGAAGAGGAAGCAAAGACGGAAGCACAGUCUUUGAAGCAACAAGGAAAUGCACACUAUGCCAAGGAAGAUUACAACGAAGCUUAUAACUAUUAAACAAAAGCCACAGAUAUGUGCCCUAAAAAUGCUAGCUAUCAUAGUAAUAGAGCAGCUACAUUGAUGAUACUUGGAAGGUUCUGCGAAGCCCAUGGAGAUACUUUCACAGUGAAAUUGGAUGAUGGUUUCUUCUGGGGACAUCUACGAGAGGGCAAGUGCCACCUCUCUCCAGGGAAUGCCAUGGCAGCACAUUGCAGUUUUCAGAGAGCCCUAGAACUGGAUCAUAACAAUGCUCACUCACAACAGGAGUUCACAAAUGCUAAUGCAGUCAAGGAAUAGGAGAAAGUCAUAGAAACAAGUUUUGAGAAGUGGGCUUUUCAGAAGGUUGUUUUCUGCAUGGACUAUGCCCUAGAAUUUGCCCCUGUCUGCCAUCACUUCAAUAUCCCUCAAAGCAGAAUGUUUAGCAAUGCUGGGUCGUUAUCCAGAAGCACAGUCUGUGGCCAGUGACAUUUUAUGAACGGAUUCCACCAAUGUGGAUGCUCUGUAUGUACGCGGACCUUGCCUUUAUUAUGAAGAUUGUACUGAGUAGGCAGUUGUUCAGUUUUUUGUACAGGCUCUCAGAGUGGUUCCUGACCAUGAGAAGGCCUGCCUUGCGUGCAGAAAUGCCAGAGCACUUAACGCAAAGAAAGAAGACUGGAAUAAAGCGUUUAGGGAAGGAAAUUACAAACUAGCUGAUGAACUGUACGCAGAACCCCCGGGGUAGACCCCGACAACAUAAAAGCAAUUGCUAAACUCUACUGUAACCGGGAUAUGGUUAAUUCCGAGCUUGGGAAACUAGAUGAUGCAAUAGACAGCUGCACAAAUGCAGUGAAGCUCAUGACACUUACAUAAAAGCCUACUUGAGAAGAGCUCAGUGUUUCUUGGACACAGAACAGUAUGAAGAAACAGUGCGAGGCUAUGAAAAAAGUAUAUCAGAUGGAGAAAACAAAAGAAUACAAACAGCUCCUAAAAAAUGCACAGCUGGAACUGAAGAAGAGUAAGAGGGAUAAUUACUACAAGGUUCUGGAAGUGACAAGAAUGCCUCUGAGGACAAGAUCAAGAAAGCUUAUUGGAAACAGGCCUUGAAGUACCAUCCACAUCGUCAUGAUGGAGCCAGCGCUGGGGUUCAAAAGGAGGAGGAGAAGAUCAAGGAAGUGGCGAGGUCUUUAUCAUCCUCUUUGAUUCCAAGAAAACGAUUCAUUAUCACAGUGGGCAGGACCUGGAUAAGGAAGACAUAAAUUUGGGUGAUUUUGAUGCAAACAAUAUCUUCAAGGUAUUCUUCCGCGGUCCUACGGGCUUCAGCUGUGAAGCAUCUGGUCCAAGGAUUUUCUUUCUUCGAUUGGGC
rnacentral:lncRNA from 1 species